UACAGAGGUCCCAAGCGUUGUUCGGAUUCACUGGGCGUAAAGGGUGCGUAGGUGGUGAGGCAAGUUCGGUGUGAAAUCUCCGGGCUCAACCCGGAAAUGGCAUUGAAAACUGCCCUGCUAGAGGGUUGGAAGGGAGACUGGAAUUCUUGGUGUAGCAGUGAAAUGCGUAGAUAUCAAGAGGAACACCAGUGGCGAAGGCGGCAUCCUGGACCGGUAUUGACGCUGAGGAGCGGAAAGCCCAGGGGGAGCAAACGGG
rnacentral:rRNA from 1 species